UUGAAACAAGCAGGAGCCGAACAUUGGGUCAUCAUAACAAACCAAUAUUUAAUCUCCUACUAAAGAAGGUUUCACAUGCCUGCCUAGAGUUGAUAUCAGACGAAGUAAAUGAAAUAGAAAAAUUAAUGUUAUAUAACCGUACAUGCGCGUGCCGUUUGUAUACAAGUUGUGGGUUGCCGUGCGCGUGUCGGUUGGAACCGUAUACAACGAAUGGUGAAAUGAUCCCGUUGGAGUUGAUAGACCCUUUUUGGAGAAAGUUAAAUUUGGACUCCAUAGUGGAACCGAGCAAGGUGGACUCUUUCGACUUAGACGGCGAAUUUGCGCUUCUCAAACAACAUUUAAGUGCUCAGCCGAGAGAACUCAAGAAAAACUUGAUUCAAAAGAUGAAGGAGUUGGUACAACUCAAUAAGACGAAGCUUAAACAACCAGUUGUGCAAAAAAACACACGGGGUCGUCCAACUUUAAAAGCUCAGCAACAAAGGAAGGAUGAUUCGUUUACGGAGCCUUCUAGACACAGCUUUUUUACAACGCAGGACCAGUAUAGUGAUUCACAAGAUGGGUUUGGCACACAAGAGUCAGCGAUCGAACCUACCAGGCACAGCUCGUUUGUCGAGUCACAAAGUUAUUGUACUGAAACACCUAUGUUCUUCGGCGAGAUUGCGAA
rnacentral:lncRNA from 1 species